UUUAAGCACUUAAGAAAUCUCUGGUUUUUUCCUGAUCUUUCUUCAGGUCAUAUUUGUCUGCCUGCAAGGAUGCAAACCUGAAAACCUUCCCUCGGAUCCAUGGGGCAACAGUCCCUUCAAGUUGAUCACAGUGAAUGGAAAGAACAAGUCCUCUCAGACAAACUAGUGUGUUAAAUCCACCAAGGUCACAUCCAACUCCAUAUUGCAAGGUGCUGAGUAACAGCUUAUGAUCCCUAUCAAGUAAUGGCUCCAGGGUUUGUUUACCAACAUCCACUGGAGACUCCAGCUUUUCUGUAGAAACAGAAACUGAGCCCGGGCUUAUCCAGGAAGCCCAAAAGUCCAUGUGGGCCUGUCCAUAGAGAAGACAGCCACAGUUCAGCCUCCUGUUUUACCUCUUGGGCUGCUGUGUCCCUCUGAGGUGAGUAAUGCUGCCCAUCUGCUGCUGGAUUCCCACUGAUGGUUAAGGGGCACUUAUUGUGUGAGCUGGAAGUGUACAAGUAGCUGACCCCAGGGAGGACAAUAGACAUCAGUACCAGGAGCCCUUGCUGGGUCACCUUCACCAGCCAUAAGGGAACUGAAAGGUUCAGUGAAUUACCCACCAGUGUUGUUCUGCAUAUUUUCUGUUAUAGGAACCACAGCUGAACUGUUCAAAACCCCUGAAGUGUUUGCUUUUCAGUUCUGUACUGUAUGAGGGGUCCACACUACACAAAGAUAUAAGAGAACAAAAAAUAAAUAUCCCAUUUACACAUCUCCAAUGUACACAAAGGCAUAAAGUUUCCUGCACAAUCAGAAAAAGUCAGGCAUGUGAUUCUUUGAGUAUUUUUUUAAGAAAACAAAUUGCAAUUUUUUUCAAAAUUAGCAUUUAAACACUCUCCUUAGGGUGUGUUCCUUGCAAAUGCAGGCUAGGGGCUUAGAUAUCUCCCUGCUUAAACCUACUGUAUUAAUUCUGUUUUCAGACAGACCCUGUUGAGAUCUCUGUGAAAUGACUGAUGUGACUUGCCAGGAUCAUGCAAGCUGUUCCAAGAAUAUCAGCAAGGCAUUGGAAUAUGGCAGGGGAGCUGGUGACUUCCCUGAGGUUUUACCCAGUGAUGGAAAAUAUAUUUGUGUUACUACUUUAGCACAAGUGUCUUCUAUAAUGCUAAGGUUUGCUUUCAAAUAAAACAUAAAUUUCACAUCUGGUUGGAAGAAAUAAAUGCAAUAGUGCUUCAAAGACUAUCUGUCAGGCUUAAAAAGCAAAAAGAUCAGGAUUUAUAGGUGUUUUUAUUAUUAACAUAAAAGCCUUGGGAUCUCAGAAUAGACUAAGGUUAUAGGUAAAUAUGGGUUCUAUUUUCUUCUUUGUUCUCCUUAACAUAUUAUUAACAUCAAGCUAAAAAAGGAUCGUCUGAAUGCUAAUAUGUUUACUCUGUGCACAUGGAUGUCAGCUUAAUCAACACAUAGAUGUGAAAGACUGUAAAGUAUGCACCAUAGGUAAAUCCAUCAUCUUAAACAUUUCAGACAGUAUCUUCAUUCUGGAGAUAUUGUUUGCUUAAGAAACCCCAGUCUUGUACUUUCCCAGUCUUUCAAGACCCUUGUGAAGCAGCAGAGGGCUGCUUCUGUGCAAAGGCUUGGAAUGGACAUGUAUUUGCAAAUGAACAGGCAAUGAAGGAAGUGAGAGUUUCUAAAACAGAUAACUUAUAAAAUUAUGAUUUGAAGAAGCUGGGGUAAAAACAACAUCUCCAAAUCAGCCAAUAUUGGGUAGCUUGAAGACAUACACAUUAGAUUUCCUGCCUGAGCUGCUGGCGACUUCAGCCUCCUUUCCAGGAGAAAAUUAUCCUAUGCAAUCCUGGUUAAAAAGUCUCACAUGGGUCACUCAGAGGUGUUGGAGGGGGCUGUACAAAUCCUGGUCCCCACUUUCUCCUAAAAAUUGUCUGCAAGACGUUCAAUCUUGCUGUGUCAGGACCGGGUUGAGUCGUCCAUGGGAUUUAAAUUAAAUCCUUGGCAACCACUCUUCUAAUUUUAUAACAAAAUCUGACCUAUGUGUUAAAGUGAGGACAUUGUUUUGCUGGGUUAUUGCUUAAUUACUAAAUGAAGAAAUAUUAAGUACAAAUUUAAUGACUCAUACAAUAUUUCCAAAUGGCAUGUACUAUAAAGUCCCAUUUACAUCUACCACACUGGCAUUUAACUCACUUUCCAUUAUUCCUGAGGCUAUUAAUGUCAGUAAUUACAGCAGGUAACAUGUCUAAUAUUGAGUGUAUUGUGGAAUAA